rnacentral:tRNA from 1 species
GGGCUCGUAGCUCAGAUCGGUUAGAGCGUUCGGUUCACAUCCGAAAGGUCUGCAGUUCAAGUCUGCACGAGCCCA